rnacentral:snoRNA from 1 species
ACUGGUGCACAUGAUGACUUAAAACUUUUUUCCCCAUCAGAGCGUCAGUGUUGAUCUCUUUGCUGUUACAGCCAGAAUCUGUCUGAUGCACCAGU